rnacentral:lncRNA from 1 species
GUUGUGCUUUUAGCCUUAAGUCACAGACGUCUGACUGCUGAUAGAGCGUCAUUGAGGGUCUUGAUUGUCACCGUGGAGCAGACGGACUGAUCACGCACGCAGGCUGUCUGCAGGCGGCGGAGCGGUCGGAGGCAGCGCGUUUGACGCCACACACCAGCAGGAAUGUCUGAUGUCUUGGACAGGACGGCUGUGGGGAGGCCGGGCUCCAGCAAGGAGGACACAGCAGGGAAAGGUUGCGACCCCUCCUGGUCUUACCUGAGUGACAAGCUGGCAGCAGCGGCGGCGGCGGCGGCGGCCGGGCCAGGGAAAGUGAUGGAUCUGAUGAUGUCCUGGAUUGUCUUCGCACAGCGGGACGUGUCGUCUCUCUGUCACACGGCCUCAACGCCGAGAAAUCCCUCCACAUUAAUGAAACACCUGCCGAAUGAAAGUGUGAGCAGCACGGGUGGUGAUUUCUAGCAUUGUUGUCAGAUGUUGGCACAUUUUUCUCCACCCAAUAUUCAGGUUCAGCUCCGUUAACGACCCUUCAGCCGACUGAGAAGAUGAUUUAAGCUGAAGUUUUGUGUGGGAC